GUCACAGUUACAUGACAACCUCUACAAAUUAAGUUCGAAGUGUGUGUGCAAUAGAAUUUCAUCUUUGAUUUCAUCACUGUUAAUUAUGUCAACAAUUAGGAAGGAAUCACGUAAAUUUUUCAACUUUCUGCCAACGGACUGGUCAGUAAACAUUUGGAUAGUCACAAGGCUCAUUUCAUAUUUUGUUAUUCUACUACAAUUUACAACUGCAGAACAAAAUGCAAAUAGGGAUGGUUUUUAAGUUGGGCAAUUUAUAAAAGAAAAGGUUGAACGUUCUGACAUACAUACAUACGUGUACAAUUCUUCGUAUGAAUAAAAAAAAUAAAAUUUUCAUAUUUAUAUGUAUACAUGGGGGAACGGCAAAUCAGUUAAUUGUUUAGAUUUUAUCUAAUAAUUUCCUUGCAAAUGUAUUAAUUGAUGUGAAGGUUUUUUCAGAAAAGAUAAUAGUCCUCUAGUCAUAGUAUAACAGGUUGCAUUUUUUUGAGUUAAAGUGAAAUAAAAUUGGCGUGUUACCUCAGGAAGAGCACCCACCGAAGAAGCGUGGCGUCAAAAGAGGGAUGAUUUUGACAUGACAGUGGCGUGACAUAACUCUUUCUCAACGCACACAGUAUUAUAAUGUCACUGUUAAAGAUGUAUUAGAUUCAGUAAAUUCACUCAAUAUGAAUGAUAACUGUCCAAAAUAAAGACACUGAAUACAUCGUUUCUGGAAAACCAAAGAAACACACAGUGCAUAUAAUCCUCUUUUCCAAAUCUUUUCUUGCACAUUCCUAUUUGAAUAUUAGUCACAUAUGUGAUCAUAAAUACAGGGAUUUGCUUCAAUCAUUGAAACAAAUGAAUAUUGAAAUUUGUAUCAACUUUUAUAUUUGGUUAAUCAAAAACAAAGUGAAGUAACACAUAAGUGGCAUGACAAGAAAAUAGAGCAACCAUUACAUUAAUUGUAGUAGUAUUACGUGCUACAAGCUACAACUGGUAUGUUGUUUGCUACGUUCAUUCAGUGAGUGUUGAUUUUUGAAUUUGAAGUAACAUCCCUAGAUGCACGCUACUUGCGGUGAGCACUUCGCUUUAGAGAUACAGAGAAAUACAUUUGGUAAAAUGGCAUAUACAAAUAUGUAACUUUAAGCCAGUGUUGAAGUGAGAAAUGAGUAGUUUUGUGUUUAAGAUUUAUUUCCUAGAAAAAAAGAUGGUAUUAAGGUGAUUAUCGAAGUUUUAUUUCUGCAACGUGCUUUUCUUUUGUAUCUGAUAGAUUUUAUAGAAGUAGAAGUUGAUAGUAUUCAGUAUUGUAACAUUUUAUUGAUGAAACUAGGUGCACUUGCAUUAAUUAGAGAUCGGUGUUGUUAUUUACAUCAAAUGUUCAUAAGUUGUUUAAGUUUGA